rnacentral:rRNA from 1 species
AACGAACGCUGGCGGCAUGCCUAACACAUGCAAGUCGAACGAGACCUUCGUGUCUAGUUGCGCACGUGUGCGUAACGCGUGGUAACCUGCCCUUAGGUUCGGAAUAACUCCCCGAAAGGUAUGCUAAUACCGCAUAAUGUCUUCGGACCAACGAUCUAUCGCCUUUGGAUGGGCCCGCGUUGGAUUAGCUAGUUGGUAGGGUAAAAGCCUACCAAGGCGACGAUCCAUAGCUGGUCUGAGAGGAUGAUCAGCCACACUGGGACUGAGACACGGCCCAGACUCCUACGGGAGGCAGCAGUGGGGAAUAUUGGACAAUGGGCGAAAGCCUGAUCCAGCCAUGCCGCGUGAGUGAUGAAGGCCUUAGGGUUGUAAAGCUCUUUUACACGGGAUGAUAAUGGCAGUAACGGGAGAAUAAGCUCCGGCUAACUCCGUG